UGCAUUUCUUGUGCCGAGGAAGGAUUACGGAAUGUACCUUUUAUGAUGAAAAAGUUACUU
rnacentral:misc_RNA from 1 species